GUACUGGCUGUGGGCAAAGCAGGGAGGGGACCUGGUCAUUCACCCCCAAGCCUCUGAGGCUCCCCUGCCGCCUGGACAAGUUUCCCCUCCCUGGGGAACUCCUACUCAUUCUGCAAAACCCACUGAAAAUGGCCCCUCCUCUGGGCAGCCUUCCCUGGUCCCCAUCAGGUAGGUGUUCACUUACUCCUCAGUCUCAUUUUUGAUCCCCAACCACUCGUUGAUCUUCUUCUGCCGGGCGCCUUUCUGGGUAAGCCACCUGCAGGAAGAGGAAAGGUGGGCUUGUUCCGCUCUGCUGGUAGGGGAGCCCAAGCUGUAGCACAGGCCGGCCAGCACCCGGUGGGCCAGCGCGGCGUGGCUGGAGACAAGGUGGGGAACCUCCUAGGGCCUGUUCUCGGCGCAAUGACACCAGCUGCCACAAGGGGUCAGCCUGGGCUUGCUCAAGGAAAGCUUGAACCUGGGAUCUUCCAGGGCGCCCCCUACUUAUUCUUACGUGUCUGUGAACUCUUACUGAACCCCCAGAAUGCGCCAUUCCAGCAAGGUCUUAUCACUACCGGAGGCUGAGACCUGAGGGCUGCACGGCAGUGUGCCUUCACACAGCGCAGCGGUUUCAUACCUCAGUUUCCCUCAGCUGUUAAGGGGCAACAUUACGAAGAACGUUGAGAAGACAGACUGAGCUCAUGUGUAAAGGGGACUCAGCGCAGUGCCUGGCACACAGCAGGAACGUAACCUGCCAACAGGCUCCUACAAACUCAGAACUAUUAACGGGGAAACCGAGACUCGGGCCCGACGCCACUUCCGAGAUCCUGAUGUUCAUAACCAAUCCCAGACAGCUGUCUUGUCCACUCAGAGCCUCAGUGGAUCCAUCAGGUUAUCAGCUAGCACUUUGAAUAACAUCCAGGUUGAAGGGCAGACACAGACCCACAGCCCCAGAUUACAGUUCCAGACGGGGAAAGUGAGGCCCAGGGAGACACCUCGGCAGCCCCGGGCACUACAUGGCUGCUCUGUGACCUGUAAGCAGACGUCUGCGCCCAGGGCCUCGCCACUGCUCCUCUGCGCCUGUGGUACCUGGGAGGUGCGGGUGUACUCCUCAUACAGCUGGUCAUACUCGCGGCUCUUGUCCUGGUACUGCUGGUGAUAGACUUUGAGCUGGGCACCCACCGCCUCCACGCUGUCCUCCUUGACGAUCUGGUCCUGGGGACAGCCGGUGUGAUCAGAGAAGCUGCCCAGGACACUUAAGCCCGAGGCUGGCACCGCCCUCCCUGGCUGCCACCCCGGCCACAGACCUGCUG